GCCGGGAUGGCGAAACUGGUAGACGCAAGGGACUUAAAAUCCCUCGGAGCGUUGCUCCGUGCCGGUUCGAUUCCGGCUCCCGGCACCA
rnacentral:tRNA from 1 species